CUCCGAACUCCAAUAUACUCCCUCAUGCUCAUACACGACUUUGCCCUCCCCUAUUCGGGCAGAUUCUUCAACAUCUACAUAGUCGUAUGCUAUCUAAGGGUUAUGGGGCUUCACGCAAUAUCCUAACUUUAUAAGAAUUUUCAACUUCAUUUUUUGUACCAAACAUUUUCUGUUUGCUCUAAAACACCCUUCUAAUAACCCGUCAAUUUGACACCCAGUCACCCCUUAACAAUGAAGGUAUGAACUCAAUAACUCAAUGCUAUUACAUAAUCAAUCAAUCAAUUUACAGUUCCAUUCUAAUACAAAAGAAUUGAUCUUGCAAUGUGGCUAGCUUUCAAAGGACGUGUAUUAUGGCACAAAACUUUUGAACAGAACAAUCAUCUCAGUGGUAUGAAAAUGUAUACAUGUCAAGAACAACUGCAACCAGGUUGAAAGCAUCGUCCAUUCUGCCAUGGUCGACCCCCAAAGAACUGCAAUUACUUCUGUAUUGGAUAACUUUAAUUUGACAGGCUUAAGUCUUCUCAAUCUGAGCUCAUGCCAAACUGUAGUUCGGGCAAGGGUCUUGGCAUUUUAUGACAAUCGCUUAAAUGUCUCGAGUUUUUAGCUCAAAUGUAUGGUUAAGGAUGGGAAGCUUGUUCUGAUCACUCGGAUUGCUGAGACAAAGAUCUUAAGACACAUUGUAAAAGGAAUCCCAGCAAAGUUUUCAGUCCGAGAAAGGUUGGGAGUCCAUGCAAAGAUGGACCAGUUUUCUCUGGUAUUGUCCAUAGUAUUCACCAACUGCAUGGACAUCUUCACUUUCUGGGUUCAGUCCAGGCAAGUUAACCAACUUAUCUGAAGAUCUUAAUUCAUCAUCCAAGCUAGAUAGAUAUUCACUAUGGAUUUCCUGGCAAGCCAGUAUAAACAUGGCUGCUGUGUCUGGUUGUUGUGCCCCACGAAGAGAAGCUAACGCCUCAGGCAGUGCACCAGCAGCAACAUACAAGAUCAGUGCCCUGCAUUGAGUUAUUACUAAUUAAGGGAA
rnacentral:lncRNA from 1 species